rnacentral:rRNA from 1 species
UACGAAGGGGGCUAGCGUUGUUCGGAAUUACUGGGCGUAAAGCGUGCGCAGGCGGUGAUGUAAGACAGGUGUGAAAUCCCCGGGCUUAACCUGGGAACUGCAUUUGUGACUGCAUCGCUGGAGUGCGGCAGAGGGGGAUGGAAUUCCGCGUGUAGCAGUGAAAUGCGUAGAGAUGUGGAGGAAUACCGAUGGCGAAGGCAGCCCCCUGGGUCAAUACUGACGCUCAUGCACGAAAGCGUGGGGAGCAAACAGG